rnacentral:rRNA from 1 species
GACGAACGCUGGCGGCGUGCUUAACACAUGCAAGUCGAGCGGAAAGGCCCUGCUUUUGUGGGGUGCUCGAGUGGCGAACGGGUGAGUAACACGUGAGUAACCUGCCCUUGACUUUGGGAUAACUUCAGGAAACUGGGGCUAAUACCGGAUAGGAGCUCCUGCUGCAUGGUGGGGGUUGGAAAGUUUCGGCGGUUGGGGAUGGACUCGCGGCUUAUCAGCUUGUUGGUGGGGUAGUGGCUUACCAAGGCUUUGACGGGUAGCCGGCCUGAGAGGGUGACCGGCCACAUUGGGACUGAGAUACGGCCCAGACUCCUACGGGAGGCAGCAGUGGGGAAUAUUGCACAAUGGGCGGAAGCCUGAUGCAGCAACGCCGCGUGCGGGAUAACGGCCUUCGGGUUGUAAACCGCUUUCGCCUGUGACGAAGCGUGAGUGACGGUAAUGGGUAAAGAAGCACCGGCUAACUACGUG